rnacentral:rRNA from 1 species
UACGAAGGGGGCUAGCGUUGCUCGGAAUCACUGGGCGUAAAGCGCACGUAGGCCGAUUGUUAAGUCAGGGGUGAAAUCCUGGAGCUCAACUCCAGAACUGCCCUUGAUACUGACGGUCUCGAGCCCGGGAGAGGUGAGUGGAACUGCGAGUGUAGAGGUGAAAUUCGUAGAUAUUCGCAAGAACACCAGUGGCGAAGGCGGCUCACUGGCCCGGUACUGACGCUGAGGUGCGAAAGCGUGGGGAGCAAACAGG